rnacentral:tRNA from 4 species
GCCGGAGUAGCUCAGCUGGUAGAGCAACCGCCUUGUAAGCGGUAGGUCAGGGGUUCGAGUCCCCUCUCCGGCU